CCUACGGGUGGCAGCAGUGAGGAAUAUUGGUCAAUGGGCGGAAGCCUGAACCAGCCAAGCCGCGUGAAGGACGACGGCCCUAAGGGUUUUAAACUUCUUUUAUAAAGGAAUAAAAUGAGGCCCGUGUGCCUUUCUGUAUGUACUUUAUGAAAAAGGAUCGGCUAACUCCGUGCCAGCAGCCGCGGUAAUACGGAGGAUCCGAGCGUUAUCCGGAUUUAUUGGGUUUAAAGGGUGCGGUGAUGGGUUUAUAAGUCAGUGGGGAAAGUUUGCGGCUUAACCGUAAAAGUGCAAUUGAUACUGGCAGUCUUGAGUACGGUUGAGGUAGGCGGAAUGCGUGGUGUAGCGGUGAAAUGCGUAGAUAUCACGAAGAACUCCGAUUGCGAAGGCAGCUUACUAAACCGCCACUGACAUUGAUGCACGAAAGUGUGGGUAUCAAACAGGAUUAGAUACCCUUGUAGUC
rnacentral:rRNA from 1 species